rnacentral:rRNA from 1 species
CACGUAGUUAGCCGGGGCUUCUUAGUCAGGUACCGUCAUUUUCUUCCCUGCUGAUAGAGCUUUACAUACCGAAAUACUUCUUCACUCACGCGGCGUCGCUGGAUCAGGGUUCCCCCCAUUGUCCAAUAUUCCCCACUGCUGCCUCCCGUAGGAGUUUGGGCCGUGUCUCAGUCCCAAUGUGGCCGUUCACCCUCUCAGGCCGGCUACUGAUCGUCGCCUUGGUGGGCCGUUACCCCGCCAACCAGCUAAUCAGACGCGGGUCCAUCCUGUACCACCGGAGUUUUUCACACUGUAUCAUGCGAUACUGUGCGCUUAUGCGGUAUUAGCACCUAUUUCUAAGUGUUAUCCCCCUGUACAGGGCAGGUUCCCCACGCGUUACUCACCCGUCCGCCACUAAGAUGCCAACAUUUCCACUCUCAGCAAGCUAAUCGCUUCAAAAAUGGCAUCCCCGUUCGACUUGCAUGUGUUAAGCACGCCGCCAGCGUUCAUCCUGAGCCAGGAUCAAA